AAGGCGGGUGGGUUCCUCAAGGACCACUGCGGGGAGGGCGAGAUGGAGGUAGCGGGAGGCUGCUCCAAGAGGUACUGUUGCUGCGCCACCAUUGACGGUAGGUGUUCAUUUCACUCAUUUCCAGUGAUAUAUACUUUUUUUCUUGACUUACAACUGCUGCUAUUUUCCAAUUACGGAUUACAUAGUUUUUAUCAUGAAGUAAAAAGUUGCUUGUUAUUGCCACAGUGUGCCAAGCUCAGCCAGCGUGUGACGGCGGACGCGGCACCUGUCGAGCCACGUGCCUGGUCGCUGAGAAGGAAAAGCACGGCCUGUGUGGCUCGCACUGCAAGUGUUGCGUGGCCUCAUUCAACGGUAAGCAAAGUGGCGCUGUCUCUGAUGGUAACACACAUUAUCUUACUGUUACCUUUUAGUGUUGCGUUUCACUUUCAGUGAAUGUCUAAAGCAAAUUUCCGAAAUAAGCGACGGAUAAGUGUGUGUGUGUGUGUGUGUGUGUGUGUGUGUGUGCGUGUGUGUGUGUGUGUGUGUGUGUGUGUGUGUGCUUAGGACUAAGAAUAGAUGUCAACAAUAGAUGUCAAGAGAUCACAUUUCAUGAAUGCUAAAACUACAUGAUGCACGGGAGGCGUGAAAAGCUUAUCAGUGUCGCAAUCCAUCGCCAGAAUUCGAAGAGGUGAAACGAUGUCUACAGGCAGGAGGCUCCAUCAAGUCCAAGUGCACCUCCAGGGAGCGGGAGGUGGCUGAGGGCUGCUCGGCCUCCCACUUCUGCUGCUGUGCUCUGAAGGACGGUGAGUGUGAUGCUGCUUUGCCCAGCCUGAUAUCACCUCCAGAAUUAUUUUUCUUGCGGAAAAUAAAUCACCAGUAAGAUAGGGCCUAAGAAUAUUAGCGGGUGAUAUGACUGUUCAGGUGGGUUGCGAAAGUGUGGGAUAUAAGAUGGAUGCAAUUUGCAGGUGUUAAUUCAAAUUUUUUUUCUAGUUUGUGACGCACACGCAUCCUGUAACAACGGUAAGGGAACCUGCAGGGCGACGUGUAAGGACCACGAGAUGGAGACUGGCAGCACGUGCGGCGGCUAUUGCAGGUGUUGUGUGGAAGCCUUCGACGGUGAGACCCUGUUCUGUGUUUGCAUCGGAAGCAAAACUGAAAAUCCAUUACUGCUUGAAAUGCUCAUGCUGCUUCAGAAACUGUGGCGGUAAUCUUACUUUUAGGUAUUUGCUUUCCAGAAUGCCAACCGGAAACUGAUUGCAAGGCUGCUGGUGGGUUCUGCAGGGCGCACUGUCCGGUCGGCAGCAAGGUGAUCAGCGGCUGCCAUGGCAACAAGUGCAAGUGUUGUAUCACCUCCAAGAUCGGAAGCCUUUGUGAAGCCAACUUGGCGUGUGAUGGCGGCCGCGGUCACUGCAGGGACGCGUGCAACACCUGGGAGGAGGAGGUGCUAGGAAAGUGUGGUUCGUCCUGCAAGUGCUGCGCGCCCAAUAUUGAACGUAAGUGCAUACUCACACACACACACACACACACACACACACACACACACACACACACACAUACACACGCACAAACCAAGUGAUCCAGUAACUUCUUUUCCGUGAACAUUCCAAUGAAAAUCUAUGAAAAAAUGUAGAAAAGGCCACUUACGUCACACAAGACGGCUGGCUCCUGUGUACCUAAUCCACGCUUACGCAUUACAUUCAUUGGUGUCCACCCGUGCAGUUAUCCUGGACCUUGAGCAAUGUAAGGCGGACGGCGGAUCCUUCAAGGCGUCCUGCGGCAAGGGGGAAAAGGAAGUUGGGAGAGGCUGCACGUCGCCCGACUUCUGCUGCUGUGCCCCAGUUGACGGUGCGAUGAUUUGGCGGGUUUUCUUCCAUCAAUUCAGAGGGCAGAGGGAAUAUAAAACAAAGAGACUAAGGGAGACAUUCAAUGUUAGGAGGAGUGCAAGACGGGAGGAUUUAUUAUCAUGAUUAGUUUUAUUUACUCAUCUAUA